UUGAGUUGGAGUUUAGAGUUUAAAGUUUGGGUUUAAGGUCUAGGAUUUGGGUUUACAGUUUGGAUUUAGGGUUUAAGAUUUGGGUUUAUAAUAUAGGGUUUGGGUUUAGGCUUUACUAUUUGGAUUUAGGGUAUAGGGUUUGAGUUUAGUAUUUAGGGGUUAGAUUUAGAUUUCAGGUUUAGAAUUUAGAAUUUAGGGUUUUGUUAGGCAUCAUUCUUUUUUCAACUAUUUAAAU
rnacentral:lncRNA from 1 species